rnacentral:rRNA from 1 species
GACGAACGCUGGCGGCGUGCUUAACACAUGCAAGUCGAACGGAAAGGCCCUGCUUUUGUGGGGUGCUCGAGUGGCGAACGGGUGAGUAACACGUGAGUAACCUGCCCUUGACUUUGGGAUAACUUCAGGAAACUGGGGCUAAUACCGGAUAGGAGCUCCUGCUGCAUGGUGGGGGUUGGAAAGUUUCGGCGGUUGGGGAUGGACUCGCGGCUUAUCAGCUUGUUGGUGGGGUAGUGGCUUACCAAGGUUUUGACGGGUAGCCGGCCUGAGAGGGUGACCGGGCACAUUGGGACUGAGGUACGGCCCAGACUCCUACGGGAGGCAGCAGUGGGGAGUAUUACACAAUGGGCGGAAGCCUGAUGCAGCAACGCCGCGUGCGGGAUGACGGGCUUCGGGUUGUAAACCGCUUUGGCCUGUGACGAAGCGUGAGUGACGGUAAUGGGUAAAGAAGCACCGGCUAACUACGUG